GGGGUCUAUUAAGAUUGUAUAGAGUACCACGGGGCUGUUAACUGCUAUCAGGAGAGCAUCACACAGGACAUUCUGUUCUUUCCUGAAGCCAACAUCACCAGCCCAGCUUCUAGAAAAUAUCACAAUCCCCUGAGAACAAGGAUGUAUCAGGGUCUUCAUUAAACCCUCCAGUUCUUUAUGAUCUGAGAACAGCUUCUUACAGAGGGAUUCUGGUUUAAAUUGUACCUCUUCCUGUGUCACUGAAAAUUCAAGGAAUAGAUGUUACCAAAACUUACAAAAGCAUGUGGUAAGUAUUCCUGCAACGUUGCAGAAAAAAAUGAUACCUGGUGCAUUUGGGAAAAUAAGAGCUUUCCUUUAGAAUUGUGAUUCUUAAUCAGGAGCAGUUUUACUCCCCAACUCUCCCCCAUCCCCACGGACAUUUGGCAAUGUCUGGAAAAUUUUUUCUUUUUUUGUGAGACGGAGUCUCGCUGUCACCCAGACUGGAGUGCAGUGGUGUGAUCUUGGCUCACUGCAGCCUCUGCCUCCCUGGUUCCAGUGAUUCUUCUGCCUCAGCCUCUGGAGUAGCUGAGAUUACAGUCACAUGCCACCACACCUGGCUAAUUUUUGUAUUUUUAGUAGAGACAGCGUUUCACCAUGUUGGCUAGGCUGGUCUCAAACUCCUGACCUCAGUUGAGGUCACCCGCCUUGGCCUCCCAAAGUGCUGGGAUUACAGGCAUGAGCCACCAUGCCCGGCCUGAGAAUUUUUUAUUGUCACAAUUGGAGGGGAGCUACUGGUAUGUAGUAGGUACCAGAUAGGAAUGCUGCUAAGUAUUCUACAAUUCACAGGGCUCUCCCUCCCCCAGCAAAGAGUUAUCUGACUCAAAUGACAAUAGUGCUAAGGUUGAGAAACCCUGCUUUAGAAGAAGUUCAGAUAACCCAAUGGCUCCUUCUGCAUUGGAAAGCUAGGGGCAGUUUUUUGAUGGUUGAGACCUGAGAAAUUCCCUGCACUCUCAAAUUUGGAAAACAAAAGCCAUAUGUUAUGAGAAGUUGGAAGGCACACAGAAAUAGUAAUAGUGGGAAUCAGAUGACUGGAAACAAGAGCCUCCUUAAAUUUGUGGACUUUUAUGGGAUAUCCGGGACUUUUUCGUGCAGAUGAAGCUGAUGAAAUCAGGCAAGAGUUGUAGUCUGUGACCAAACUGGGAGGAGCUAGACAAUUACAUGGAAAGUUGUUUCAGACAAAAAAUAAAAAGUUAAAAAAAAAAAAAAAAAAGCCUCUUUUUUUGGCUCUUCUUACUGGAGACCUGUGAUGUGCAUGGGUGCCUGAGCAGUCGUACUUACUAUGCGUCAGACAGCUCACGUAUGUCAGGAAAGGAAGUCUGGGGAUUCCUACAGGGGACAUAUCACACAUAUUCUAAGUCACUGUGUGACUCGGCUUGAGCAAGUCAUUUCACCUCUCUCUCACGCUGGAGUGAAGUAAUAAUCCCUAAGCUUCCUUUCAAUUAUAAUAUUCUGACUCCAGGUUAUCUCUAAGAAGAAAAGGCAUCUAGUGGGGAUCAGCAAGGAUUAAAGCACAGUAUUUUAAAAAUGGUGUUGGCCAGAUGUGAUGGCUCACACCUGUAAUCCCAGCACUUUGGGAGGCCGAGGCAGGCGGAUCACGAGGUCAGGAGAUCAAGACCAUCCUGGCUAACACGGUGAAACCCCGUCUCUACUAAAAACAAAAAAAAUUAGCCAGGCAUGGUGGCCGGCGCCUGUAGUCCCACCUAUUCGGGAGGCUGAGGCAGGAGAAUGGGGUGAACCCAGGAGACGGAGCUUGCAGUGAGCCGAGAUAGCGCCACUGCACUCCAGCCUGGGUGACAGAGCGAGACUCCGUCUCAAAAAAAAAAAAAAAUACAAAAAAAUACAAAAAUUAGCUGGGCGUGGUGGUGUGCCUGUAAUCCCAGCUGCUCGGGAGGCUGAGGUGGGAGAAUUGCUUGAACCUGGGAGGCGGAGGCUGCAGUGAGCUGAGAUCGUGCCGCUGCACUCCAGCCUAGGCGACAAAGCAAGACCCUGUCUCAAAAAAAAAAAAAAAUGUUGUUACAGUUGUUUAUGUCCCCAUCUAAGGUUAGAUGGAAUCAAAAGUGGCAGGAUCUUUAGGGGAGAGGAGAAGAGAAGUGAACUCAAACAAAUUAAGAGAAAGAAUGACCCAAUAAAAUUCUCCAAUCACUCAAGUUUUGAUGAAAUCUGGAACAUACUGGCCGUGAAGGCAAGCAGAUAGGCGUAGUUCGGCCUAUAGUCCUUUAUGGAUUGAUUAGGAAUCACCAAGGCUGAUUCCAAUCAAAACUGAAAGGUAAGUGAGAACACCAGGGGUCCUGCUCCCCCCAGCACCCCCUUGCCCUAGCAUCUCCUUUUGCAUCAUUUUCCCCCACUUGGUGGUGCCCUAAGCCCAGUGGCUUAAGGUUAUUAGCUCCUAAUGUUACUGAAACAAUUCAAAUUUGUCAACAAUGUUUUGCUUGAAAGAAUUAGUGGAGUAGUGGAGUCAUUUAUUUUUAUUUUUUUAUUUUUAUUUAUUUAUUUUUUUGAGACGGGGUCUCGCUCUGUUGCUUAGGCUGGAGUGCAGUGGAGUGAUCUUGGCUGACUACAACCUCCACCUCCCAGGCUCAAGCAAUCCUCCCACCUCAGCCUCCCAUGUAGCUGGGACUACAGGCAUACACCACCACGCCUGGCUAAUUUUUAUAUUUGGGGGAGAGAUAGGGCUUCGCUAUUUUGGCCAGGCUGGUCUCAAACUCCUGGGCUUAGGCAAUCUGCCCACCUUGGCCUCCCAAAGUGCUAGGACUGCGCCCAGCCUCAGAGUUAUUCUUAAACAGUGUUUCUCUAGAAUAUCAUCUCUAAAAUGAGGCUAUUCCAAUUUUGACUGGGAUGAUCAGCCUGCACAAUUUUUUCAACAGGUUUAUAGACAAUAAAAGGAGACCUUUCCUAACUCAUUGCUGAUGGCAUACUGUAACUUUCCUUUAAAAGUUGCUUAGGCUGGCCAGGAGUGGUGGCUCACACCUGUAAUCCCAGCAGUUUGGGAGGUGGAGGUGAGUUGAUCACUUGAGGUUAGAAGUUCAAGACCAGCCUGGGCAACAUGGCAAAACCCCAUCUCUAUUAAAAAUACAAAAAUUAGCCGACAUGGUGGUGUGUGCCUGUAAUCCCAGCUACUUGGGAGGCUGAAGCACGAGAAUCACUUGCACCUGGGAGGUGGAGUUUGCAGUGAGCCGAGGUCACACCACUGCACUCCAGCCUGGGUGACAGAGUCUAAA
rnacentral:lncRNA from 10 species